AGUGGAGCCUACAUGCAGCUGUGUUUAUAAUGAUACUUUCCUUAUCUUUUUUCCACAGACCCCACAGUGAGGAUCUCUCCAAGAAAGGGUCAACCAAGCAGCCAUGACCAAGGCAAAAAGUCAUCACAUUUUGUUCAUGCUACAAGUGCAUAGGAAAUCCAUUCCACAUCUGGACGACUAAAUUGACUGGAGAUACUCAAGCUUUGAAGAAAACACAUUUAUGAAAGAAAACACUGAUGAAGACUCUUCCAGCUUGUAAUCAGUGAGAUCAAACUGAGGAGACACAGAUCAGGGAACUACAUUUUGGCUGCCUGUGUGCUGGAGCCUGGGAAAGAAGGGACCAUCAUUACUGCACCUGCAGAGCAACUGGGCAGAAUGCUGACAUUCAGUGCUCAGACAGCACUACGAUUGGGUACAGCUGCUUUCCACACCGAAGCCAAGCAAGCAGACCCCAGCAAUCCUCCAGUCCCAGCGUGCUUCCCAGCAUCUGACAACACCCAUAAAGGGAGACAUAUCCAGCACUUUUCCAAGGCAAUCACUGAGCCUGCUGUUUGGGCAACCAUAAGGCAAUGCAUCUGUGCAGGAAGAACUCCGAAGAUUCCCGUGGCUUGGCUGCCACAAUUCUGCUUAUGAAGCAACUCCUUCUCCCAGCUGCUUGAGGCUCCUGGGAUGCUGUACAGCAAUUUAAAUUAC